rnacentral:lncRNA from 1 species
AUCAAGUCCUGAUGAAAGAAAUUGCACAUACCGAAUUGGAAGGGGUCGCAGAAGCUGAUUUGUUACUUAUUGGACCACAGCAGUCAGGAAAGUCAUCAUUGGUCAACUCUAUCAUGAGCGUUGCGAAGGGAAGGAAAGUCUACAAGACAGCAGCAAUGAGUUGAGAGGAAACAAUUACAAAACGGUUUUUAGCAAUCAAAGGAAAUGGUUUUCUAAAGAAUCUUCAGUUUCAAGAUACUGUAGGAAUUAUUGAAGCCGAUGAUCCAGAUGUUACCUGCGACUUUAUUGACAUAAUAUUGAGCGGUGAUGUAAACCAUCGCGAGAAGCUAUCCGAAAGAGACUGGUCAUUUGUGGCGGAAGAGCAUACGUACGAACCUUCCAAGAAGACAGUUCACUGUGUAAUUUUUGUAUUUGAUGCGACUGUUCUAAAAUCGUGCAGCAACGUCAAAAAAGACACAACUGAAUCAAAGGUCAAGAUGUUGAUGGAUAAAGUUAAAGAUAUGGGUAUACCAUUCAUCUUAGUUUUGACGAAAAUAGACCAGCUGUGCAAGGAAGUGGAAAAUGAUAUCUCUAAGACUUUCCAAAGCGUAGCGGUUAAAGAAGCUGUUGAUACAGCGAGGCGAGAUUUUGGAUUUCAAGAAAUUGACAUAUAUCCUGUUAAGAACUAUGAUAAGGAAACAACAAUGAAUCCAUUUAUGGAUAUGCUUAUUCUCGAAGCAAUUCUCCAAGCGAUCAAUUAUUCCGCUGACUAUCUCGAAGACUUAGAAGAAAAUUGAAAGGACUAGGACAUACAACACUAAACCCUCUUAUUAUAGUUAGAAUACUGUCAAUCUAAUCUAUGAAUCAAGUUUGAUAUCAUUGUAGAAAAAAUGACUUUGAAAGUCAGCGAUAUAUAUGUUAGAUUGUGAUGGAAUAUGCUGUUAAACUAGCUAAUAGAUAUCUUGAUUGUUAAGCUAUCAGAAAUAUAACUGGCUAGGAACCAGUUUCCAGACAAAAUCCAUGUUUUUUUUCUUUUGUCUGUCAAAUUCUUCAAAAUUAACUUAUACUGGUGAAACUUGCCUUGUAAAAACGUUAGCUCUUGUUACAUUAUGGCUAAUAUUACCAAGUGACGUAACAUAUAUACUUAAGGGAGGCUAAAUUUGCUCAUAGAAAGUGUAACUCUUUUAUACUAACCAGUCCCCGGACAAAUAUUACAGGGUGCAUUGACCUAUAUUCUCAGGUAAAAUAGGUACAUAGAUCCACGCCAAAGGCCGCUUCAACUGGAGCAAAUCACAGCAAUAUAUAAAGAAAGAUACUGUAAUGUAUUAUGUAUAAUGUAAUGUACUCGUUCUCUCCCUUGGAUAAAAAAUAGCAAAAGUUUCUUUUUACUAUUUAUUUUUAACAUAAAAUUAUGUGAUUCUAACAAAUUAUAUAUUUUCUAACAGCAUGAAAAAGAUAUUGAUUCAUGUCUUCUGCAUUCACA